rnacentral:rRNA from 1 species
GCUCAGGAUGAACGCUGGCGGCGUGCCUAACACAUGCAAGUCGAACGAAGCGAUUUAACGGAAGUUUUCGGAUGGAAGUUGAAUUGACUGAGUGGCGGACGGGUGAGUAACGCGUGGGUAACCUGCCUUGUACUGGGGGACAACAGUUAGAAAUGACUGCUAAUACCGCAUAAGCGCACAGUAUCGCAUGAUACAGUGUGAAAAACUCCGGUGGUACAAGAUGGACCCGCGUCUGAUUAGCUAGUUGGUAAGGUAACGGCUUACCAAGGCGACGAUCAGUAGCCGACCUGAGAGGGUGACCGGCCACAUUGGGACUGAGACACGGCCCAAACUCCUACGGGAGGCAGCAGUA